rnacentral:lncRNA from 10 species
UGAACUCCUGACCUCAAGUGAUCCACUCGCUUUGGCUUCACAAAGUGCUAGGAUUACAGGUGUGAGCCACCACACCCAGCCAGAAGUAUCUUUUAAACAGGAUUUUUAAAAGUGGGAGUUGACCCUUUCCAAAAUCUGGAGUUGGGAUGGGCAUUAGUGGUUUGGAGAGGAAAGAGCAGGUGUGUUGUGGCUGGGAGGCGAUUCCUUUCAGCACCUUGGGUGAUGUCUGAGGCCAUACCCACUUUCUGUGCUAUUUUUGGGAUUAUGAUGAUUAACCCACACUCCCUUUGUUCCUCCCAUGUAACCUGGAUUCUUGGGCAUUCAACCAAUAUUAAACCCUUCCUCUGAAAAAUUCCUGGAUUGACAAGAGCACACUGGACCCAUUUCCAUUCCCCAUCGUGAUCAAUAGGUAUCAAAAGAAAUGAUAGCUUCUUAGAAUAGAAAUUUGCAGCCACUGGGGAAUGUACUUCUUAGAAUAGAAAUUUGCAGCCACUGGG